rnacentral:rRNA from 1 species
CAGUCGCCACGGGAAUACGUAGGGUGCGAGCGUUAAUCGGAAUUACUGGGCGUAAAGCGUGCGCAGGCGGUUAUAUAAGACAGAUGUGAAAUCCCCGGGCUCAACCUGGGACCUGCAUUUGUGACUGUAUAGCUAGAGUACGGUAGAGGGGGAUGGAAUUCCGCGUGUAGCAGUGAAAUGCGUAGAUAUGCGGAGGAACACCGAUGGCGAAGGCAAUCCCCUGGACCUGUACUGACGCUCAUGCACGAAAGCGUGGGGAGCAAACAGGAUUAGAUACCCGGGUAGUCCCUGUCUCUUAUAC